AGGAGCUUAAUUUAAUGGUAGAAUGUUAUGCUCAUAACAUAGUGGUAUAGGUUCAAGUCCUGGAGGCCCGU
rnacentral:tRNA from 1 species